rnacentral:rRNA from 1 species
UGGGGGAUAUUGCACAAUGGGGGAAACCCUGAUGCAGCAACGCCGCGUGAGUGAAGAAGGUCUUCGGAUUGUAAAGCUCUGUUCUUGGUGAAGAUAAUGACGGUAGCCAAGGAGAAAGCUCCGGCUAACUACGUGCC